UAGAAGGACACAGAUUAGCUUUAGCUAAGACAGUGUUAAUUGUCCCUGCAUUUACUCCUCAGAGAUGAGUAUUCAAAACUACUUUAAGAGAAUACGGCGUGAGGAUGAGGAUGAGAGACGAGGAAAGGAGAAGAGACCACAGCCGGUGGUCAGUGAAUCUGCUGGCACAAACACUCACAGACAGUUACCCAAAGCUGGUUUCUGUAGCGUGUGCUGCUCACAGACUAGCA